rnacentral:rRNA from 1 species
GAUGAACGCUGGCGGCGUGCCUAAUACAUGCAAGUCGAGCGAACAGAUGAGGAGCUUGCUCCUCUGACGUUAGCGGCGGACGGGUGAGUAACACGUGGAUAACCUACCUCUAAUACUGGGAUAACUACGGGAAACCGGAGCUAAUAACAGCUAAUAUAUUGAACCGCAUGAUUCAAUAGUGAAAGACGGUUUUCCUGUCACUUAUAGAUGGAUCCGCGCCGCAUUAGCUAGUUGGUAAGGUAACGGCUUACCAAGGCAACGAUGCGUAGCCGACCUGAGAGGGUGAUCGGCCACACUGGAACUGAGACACGGUCCAGACUCCUACGGGAGGCAGCAGUAGGGAAUCUUCCGCAAUGGGCGAAAGCCUGACGGAGCAACGCCGCGUGAGUGAUGAAGGUCUUCGGAUCGUAAAACUCUGUUAUUAGGGAAGAACAAAUGUGUAAGUAACUAUGCACGUCUUGACGGUACCUAAUCAGAAAGCCACGGCUAACUACGUG